GCCGCAAGACGGCUGUUUGCGAUCUCAGGUCCGAUUGAGGGUACCGUCGUUGAGACUUAUUUGCACCGUCGCGGAAUAGCCCGCGUGUACCAUGGUGGCAGCCUGCGCUUCCAUCCGCGCUGCUACUACCGGCCUGACGAGCAUUUGCCGACCGAGACCUGGCCGGCAAUGAUCGCUGCCGUCACCGACCUCGAUGGCGGGAUCACCGGCGUGCACCG
rnacentral:misc_RNA from 1 species